rnacentral:rRNA from 1 species
AUUGAACGCUGGCGGAAUGCUUUACACAUGCAAGUCGGACGGCAGCACGGACUUCGGUCUGGUGGCGAGUGGCGAGCGGGUGAGUAAUGUAUCGGAACGUGCCCAGUCGUGGGGGAUAACGUAGUGAAAAUUACGCUAAUACCGCAUACGAUCUAUGGAUGAAAGCGGGGGAUCGCAAGACCUCGCGCGAUUGGAGCGGCCGAUAUCAGAUUAGGUAGUUGGUGGGGUAAAGGCCCACCAAGCCAACGAUCUGUAGCUGGUCUGAGAGGACGACCGGCCACACUGGAACGGAGACACGGUCCAGACUCCUACGGGAGGCAGCAGUGGGGAAUUUUGGACAAGGGGCGAAAGCCUGAUCCAGCCCUUCCGCGUGCAGGAUGAAGGCCCUCGGGUUGUAAACUGCUUUUGUACAGAACGAAAAGGUUUCUACUAAUACUAGGAGCUCAUGACGGUACUGUAAGAAUAAGCACCGGCUAACUACGUGCCAGCAGCCGCCGUAA